GUGGGGAAUAUUGGACAAUGGGCGAAAGCCUGAUCCAGCCAUGCCGCGUGUGUGAAGAAGGUCUUCGGAUUGUAAAGCACUUUAAGUUGGGAGGAAGGGCAGUAAGUUAAUACCUUGCUGUUUUGACGUUACCGACAGAAUAAGCACCGGCUAACUUCGUGCCAGCAGCCGCGGUAAUACGAAGGGUGCAAGCGUUAAUCGGAAUUACUGGGCGUAAAGCGCGCGUAGGUGGUUCAGCAAGUUGGAGGUGAAAUCCCCGGGCUCAACCUGGGAACUGCCUCCAAAACUACUGGGCUAGAGUACGGUAGAGGGUAGUGGAAUUUCCUGUGUAGCGGUGAAAUGCGUAGAUAUAGGAAGGAACACCAGUGGCGAAGGCGACUACCUGGACUGAUACUGACACUGAGGUGCGAAAGCGUGGGGAGCAAACAGGAUUAGAAACCCGAGUAGUCC
rnacentral:rRNA from 1 species